AGGAAUAUUGGUCAAUGGGCGUAAGCCUGAACCAGCCAAGUAGCGUGAGGGAAGACUGCCCUAUGGGUUGUAAACCUCUUUUGUGCGGGGAUAAAGUGUGGGACGUGUCCCAUAUUGCAGGUACCGCACGAAUAAGGACCGGCUAAUUCCGUGCCAGCAGCCGCGGUAAUACGGAAGGUCCGGGCGUUAUCCGGAUUUAUUGGGUUUAAAGGGAGCGCAGGCCGUCCUUUAAGCGUGCUGUGAAAUGCCGCGGCUCAACCGUGGCACUGCAGCGCGAACUGGAGGACUUGAGUACGCACGAGGUAGGCGGAAUUCGUGGUGUAGCGGUGAAAUGCUUAGAUAUCACGAAGAACUCCGAUUGCGAAGGCAGCUUACCGGAGCGCAACUGACGCUGAGGCUCGAAAGCGCGGGUAUCGAACAGGAUUAGAUACCCUGGUAGUCCGCGCGGUAAACGAUGGAUGCCCGCCGUUGGGAUUUAGAUUUCAGCGGCCAAGCGAAAGCGUUAAGCAUCCCACCUGGGGAGUACGCCGGCAACGGUGAAACUCAAAGGAAUUGACGGGGGCCCGCACAAGCGGAGGAACAUGUGGUUUAAUUCGAUGAUACGCGAGGAACCUUACCCGGGCUUGAAUUGCAGGAGAACGAUCCAGAGAUGGUGAGGCCCUUCGGGGCUCCUGUGAAGGUGCUGCAUGGUUGUCGUCAGCUCGUGCCGUGAGGUGUCGGCUCAAGUGCCAUAACGAGCGCAACCCCUGUCCAUAGUUGCCAUCAGGUCGUGCUGGGCACUCUGUGGAGACUGCCGCCGUAAGGUGUGAGGAAGGUGGGGAUGACGUCAAAUCAGCACGGCCCUUACGUCCGGGGCUACACACGUGUUACAAUGGGGCAUACAGCGAGUUGGAUGUGCGCAAGUACGUCCGGAUCAAUAAAGUGCCUCUCAGUUCGGACUGGGGUCUGCAACCCGACCCCACGAAGCUGGAUUCGCUAGCAAUCGCGCAUCAGCCAUGGCGCGGUGAAUACGUUCCCG
rnacentral:rRNA from 1 species